CCCCGUAUAACAUUGCAAUUUUUUUCUUCCUGUUUAGGGACAAGUGAUGAGCUGCGACAUCAUCUCAUACUUUCCUGGCUGCCCUGAAUGAACAUUGAAUGGCAUCCCACAGACUGCUUAGCUUUUCUUUGGCCUAUUUGGGAUGGCAGGUGUGGAAGAACAGAGAUGACUGGAUAGGUUCAGGGCAAAGGGAAGUGGGACAGAACCAAGGCCCAGGCACUCACCCGUCACUGCCUGGACCAGAAGGACAACCGAAGUUUGUUUAACUCUACCUGCACCUCUUCACUCUCAAGGAUAUGAAGGAAGCAUCACAAAUGAAGGCCUGGUGAUCCAGUUUCCUGAAGAAAGUGUGCACUGAAUGAAGUCUAGGUUAAUAACCAAGGCAGAUAUUCUUAAAAAAAAAAAAAAAAGUAUUUGACAUUCAGGAACAGAAGGUGAUGUGUAAAAUGUAUUGUGCCCCCGUGUAUUUGUAUUCUCAGCUGCAUCGAGGUCUUGAGAUGUACACGUGCUUGUACAAAUGCUCUCACACUCUUGAGCUGUGUGCCUUGAAAAUAUAUUCAAUUCAAUCGGCCUUACGUAUUUCUCUUUAAUUUUGUAAACUGGAGAAGAGCAGGCCAGACUCCUUGGUGUGCAAUGGUCAACACAAUCCUCACUGGCCUAUUUGCCCCUCCUUAGCCGUGGGCAUCUGCUGUCCCAGGGCCUGGCAAGUGUGAAGUGGGGUCGAUGCCAGUGCCUGUGGAGCCAGAGCUGUUUACAGUUUCGACAUGAGCUGGCACAUGUGGCUUGGGUGGGGGUAGGGAUAGAUGACCUCUAAGUUCCCUUCUCAUCUAAGACCCUGUGAUGAACUUAGAAGACAUGACCCUGAUUUUCUGCAAUAGUAAACUCUCACCCCACCUAUCAUUCUAAAGACUUUUUGUAGGUUUCCCUCACUUUUUCCAGGAGACUGAUCCAAAAUGUGCAGCCUGUAGACAGAAAUGUGAUCCAUCAAUUUUCUUCUUGCUUUUUAUUUUUUAAUUGCAUCAUAGUAGUAAUAUAAUUAUGUGAGAGCACAUGACCAAAUAUGAAGCGCUUCAUACACAAAAAGUCAUAAACACUUUAUAACUGCAGCCAAAACACUCAGAAGCUCUGGG
rnacentral:lncRNA from 12 species